rnacentral:rRNA from 1 species
UUGGAGGGCAAGUCUGGUGCCAGCAGCCGCGGUAAUUCCAGCUCCAAUAGCGUAUAUUAAAGUUGUUGCAGUUAAAAAGCUCGUAGUUGAAUUUCGGGAUCAAAUAAUCGGUCGUGCCUCCGGUACGUACUGGUUUUAUUGGUUCCUCCCUUCUGACGAACCAUGAUGUCAUUAAUUUGAUGUGGUGGAGAAUCAGGACUGUUACCUUGAAAAAAUUAGAGUGUUUAAAGCAGGCUAACGCUUGAAUACAUUAGCAUGGAAUAAUGAAAUAGGACGUUCGACCCUAUUUUGUUGGUUUCUAGGAUCGACGUAAUGAUUAAUAGGGAUAGUUGGGGGCAUUAGUAUUCAAUUGUCAGAGGUGAAAUUCUUGGAUUUAUUGGAGACUAACUACUGCGAAAGCAUUUGCCAAGGAUGUUUUCAUUAAUCAAGAACGAAAGUUAGGGGAUCGAAGACGAUCAGAUACCGUCGUAGUCUUAACCAUAAACUAUGCCGACUAGGGAUCGGAUGAUGUUAAUUUUUUAAUGACUCAUUCGGCGCCUUACGGGAAAC